GUGAGAGAGACACAGGUGAGAGACACAGGUGAGAGAGACACAGGUGAGAGACACAGGUGAGAGAGACAUGUGAGAGACACAGGUGAGAGACACAGGUGUGAGAGACACAGGUGAGAGAGACAGGUGAGAGAGAGACAGGUGUGAGAGGCACAGGUGAGAGAUACAGGUGAGAGAGAGACACAUGUGAGAGAGACACAGGUGAGAGGCACAGGUGAGAGAGACACAGGUGAGAGACACAGGUGAGAGAGAGACAGGUGAGAGAGACACAGGUGAGAGACACAGGUGAGAGAGACACAGGUGAGUGAGAGACACAGGUGAGAGACACAGGUGAGAGAGACACAGGUGAGAGAGAGACACAGGUGAGAGAGACAGGUGAGAGAGACACACAGGUGAGAGAGAGACAGGUGAGAGAGAGACAGGUGAGAGACACAGGUGAGAGACAUAGGUGAGAG